GUCUGUAUGUUAACUUAUAUAAAGUCUGGCCUGCCCACUGAGAAUUUAAAGGGCCGCGGUAAUUUGACCGUGCGAAGGUAGCAUAAUCAUUAGUCUUUUAAUUGGAGGCUUGAAUGAAUGGUCGGAUGAGGGAUGUUCUGUCUUUUUUAUAAAAAUGAAUUUAACUUUUAAGUGAAAAGGCUUAAAUUUUUUAGUGGGACGAUAAGACCCUAUAAAACUUUAUAUAAUUUAGAUUAUUCUAUUAUAUUAGGUUAAAAGGUGCUUAGUUUAUUUUAUAUUUUGUUGGGGAGAUGAUGAUAAAAUUUGUAACUGUUUUUUUAAUUAAAUAAUUAUAAUUAGUUUUUGAUCCUUUUUAAAGAUUAUAAGAUUAAGUUACUUUAGGGAUAACAGCGUAAUUUUCUUUGAGAGUUCUUAUCGACAAGAGUAGUUGCGACCUCGAUGUUGAAUUAAAAUUUUUGGUGGGUGAAGCCGUUCAUUAAAUAGGUCUGUUCGACCUUUAAAAUUUUACAUGAUUUGAGUUCAAACCGGUGUGAG
rnacentral:rRNA from 1 species